GGGGGCAUGGCGCAAUUGGUAGCGCAUCUGCUUUGCAAGCAGAGGGUUAGGGGUUCGAGUCCCCUUGCCUCCACCG
rnacentral:tRNA from 2 species